CCUACGGGAGGCAGCAGUGAGGAAUAUUGGUCAAUGGUCGGGAGACUGAACCAGCCAAGCCGCGUGAGGGAUGAAGGUACAGAGUAUCGUAAACCUCUUUUGUCAGGGAACAAAGGCGGGGACGUGUCCCCGGAUGAGUGUACCUGAAGAAAAAGCAUCGGCUAACUCCGUGCCAGCAGCCGCGGUACUACGGAGGAUGCGAGCGUUAUCCGGCUUUAUUGGGUUUAAAGGGUGCGCAGGCGGUCUGUUAAGUCAGCGGUCAAAGCCCGGGGCUCAACCCCGGCCCGCCGUUGAAACUGGCAGUCGCGAGUUGGAGAGAAGUAUGCGGAAUUCGCGGUGUAGCGGUGAAAUGCAUAGAUAUCGCGAAGAACUCCGAUUGCGAAGGCAGCAUGCCGGCUCCACACUGACGCUGAGGCACGAAAGCGUGGGUAUCGAACAGGAUUAGAUACCCGUGUAGUC
rnacentral:rRNA from 1 species